CGGAGUAAUGCUUGGGAAUCUAGCUUAUGGAGGGGGAUAACUAUGGGAAACUGUAGCUAAUACCGCGUAGAAUCGGGAGAUGAAAGUGUGGGACCUUCGGGCCACAUGCCAUAGGAUGAGCCCAAGUGGGAUUAGGUAGUUGGUGAGGUAAAGGCUCACCAAGCCGACGAUCUCUAGCUGGUCUGAGAGGAUGACCAGCCACACUGGGACUGAGACACGGCCCAG
rnacentral:rRNA from 1 species